rnacentral:rRNA from 1 species
UACGGGGGGGGCAAGCGUUGUUCGGAUUUACUGGGCGUAAAGGGCGCGUAGGCGGCAAUUCAAGUCAGCUGUGAAAUCUCCGGGCUUAACUCGGAACGGUCAGCUGAUACUGCUUUGCUAGAGUGCAGAAGGGGCAAUCGGAAUUCUUGGUGUAGCGGUGAAAUGCGUAGAUAUCUGGAGGAAUACCGGUGGCGAAGGCGGCAUCCUGGACCAUAACUGACGCUGAGGCGCGAAAACUAGGGGAGCAAACGGU